CCUACGGGAGGCUGCAGUGAGGAAUAUUGGUCAAUGGACGAGAGUCUGAACCAGCCAAGUAGCGUGAAGGAUGACUGCCCUAUGGGUUGUAAACUUCUUUUAUCUGGGAAUAAAAUGUUCCACGUGUGGGAGUUUGUAUGUACCAUAUGAAUAAGGAUCGGCUAACUCCGUGCCAGCAGCCGCGGUAAUACGGAGGAUCCGAGCGUUAUCCGGAUUUAUUGGGUUUAAAGGGAGCGUAGGUGGAUUGUUAAGUCAGUUGUGAAAGUUUGCGGCUCAACCGUAAAAUUGCAGUUGAAACUGGCAGUCUUGAGUACAGGAGAGGUGGGCGGAAUUCGUGGUGUAGCGGUGAAAUGCUUAGAUAUCACGAAGAACUCCGAUUGCGAAGGCAGCUCACUGGACUGCAACUGACACUGAGGCUCGAAAGUGUGGGUAUCAAACAGGAUUAGAUACCCUAGUAGUC
rnacentral:rRNA from 1 species